rnacentral:rRNA from 1 species
UACGUAGGUGGCAAGCGUUUGUCCGGAAUCAUUGGGCGUAAAGAGCGUGUAGGCGGCUUGGCAAGUCUGGUGUGAAAUCUUGCGGCUCAACCGCAAGCGGUCACUGGAAACUGCCUCGCUAGAGUCCGGAAGAGGAGAGCGGAAUUCCUGGUGUAGCGGUGGAAUGCGCAGAUAUCAGGAAGAACACCCGUGGCGAAGGCGGCUCUCUGGGCCGUAACUGACGCUGAGGAGCGAAAGCAUGGGGAGCGAACAGG